rnacentral:rRNA from 1 species
UACGUAGGGGGCAAGCGUUGUCCGGAUUUAUUGGGCGUAAAGAGCGUGUAGGCGGCCAUACAGGUCAGCUGUGAAAACUCGAGGCUCAACCUCGAGACGUCGGUUGAAACCGUAUGGCUAGAGUCCGGAAGAGGAGAGUGGAAUUCCCGGUGUAGCGGUGAAAUGCGCAGAUAUCGGGAAGAACACCCGUGGCGAAGGCGGCUCUCUGGGACGGUACUGACGCUGAGGCGCGAAGGCGUGGGGAGCGAACGGG